UACACGACCGUACCGCAAACCGACACUGGUGCGCGAGAUGAGUAUUCUAAGGCGCUUGAGAGAACUCAGGAGAAGGAACUCGGCAAAUUGACACCGUAACUUCGGAAGAAGGUGUGCCUUUAGUAGGUGAAGGGAUUUACUCCUGGAGCCCAAUGAGGUUGCAAAAAAUCGGUGGCUGCGACUGUUUAUUAAAAACACAGCACUCUGCAAACACGAAAGUGGACGUAUAGGGUGUGACGCCUGCCCGGUGCUAGAAGAUUAAAUGAUGGGGUGCAAGCUCUUGAUUGAAGUCCCAGUAAACGGCGGCCGUAACAAUAACGGUCCUAAGGUAGCGAAAUUCCUUGUCGGGUAAGUUCCGACCUGCACGAAUGGCGUAACGAUGGCCACACUGUCUCCUCCUGAGACUCAGCGAAGUUGAAAUGUUUGUGAUGAUGCAAUCUCCCCGCGGAAAGACGGAAAGACCCCAUGAACCUUUACUGUAGCUUUGUAUUGGACUUUGAACAGAUCUGUGUAGGAUAGGUGAGGCUUUGAAGCAGGGUCGCUAGAUCUUGUGGAGCCAACGUUGAAAUACCGCCCUGGUGUGUUUGAGGUUCUAACCUAGGCCCGUAAUCCGGGUUGGGGACAGUGCAUGGUAGGCAGUUUGACUGGGGCGGUCUCCUCCCAAAGUGUAACGGAGGAGUUCGAAGGUACGCUAGUUACGGUCGGACAUCGUGACGAUAGUGCAAUGGCAUAAGCGUGCUUAACUGCGAGACUGACAAGUCGAGCAGAUGCGAAAGCAGGACAUAGUGAUCCGGUGGUUCUGUAUGGAAGGGCCAUCGCUCAACGGAUAAAAGGUACUCUGGGGAUAACAGGCUGAUACCGCCCAAGAGUUCAUAUCGACGGCGGUGUUUGGCACCUCGAUGUCGGCUCAUCUCAUCCUGGGGCUGUAGCCGGUCCCAAGGGUAUGGCUGUUCGCCAUUUAAAGAGGUACGUGAGCUGGGUUUAAAACGUCGUGAGACAGUUUGGUCCCUAUCUUCCGUGGGCGCUGCAGAUUUGAGGAAGCCUGCUCCUAGUACGAGAGGGCCGGAGUGGACGCACCUCUGGUGUAUCGGUUGUCACGCCAGUGGCAUUGCCGAGUAGCUAUGUGCGGAAGAGAUAACCGCUGAAAGCAUCUAAGCGGGAAACUCGUUUCAAGAUGAGAUCUGCCGGGGCCUUGAGCCCCCUGAAGAGUCGUUCAAGACCAGGACGUUGAUAGGUCGGGUGUGGAAGCGCAGUAAUGCGUUAAGCUAACCGAUACUAAUUGCUCGUGCGGCUUGACCCU
rnacentral:rRNA from 1 species